rnacentral:rRNA from 1 species
UGGGGAAUAUUGCGCAAUGGGCGGAAGCCUGACGCAGCGACGCCGCGUGGGGGAUGACGGCCUUCGGGUUGUAAACCUCUUUCGGCCCCGACGAAGCGUGAGUGACGGUAGGGGUAGAAGAAGCACCGGCCAACUACGUGCCAGCAGCCGCGGUAAUACGUAGGGUGCGAGCGUUGUCCGGAAUUAUUGGGCGUAAAGAGCUCGUAGGCGGUCUGUCGCGUCGAUCGUGAAAACUUGGGGCUUAACCCUGAGCUUGCGGUCGAUACGGACAUGACUGGAGUUCGGCAGGGGAGACUGGAAUUCCUGGUGUAGCGGUGAAAUGCGCAGAUAUCAGGAGGAACACCGGUGGCGAAGGCGGGUCUCUGGGCCGAUACUGACGCUGAGGAGCGAAAGCGUGGGGAGCGAACAGG